rnacentral:lncRNA from 1 species
AGCAAUGGACCACUCUAAGUGAGGUAGAGAUGCUAGAACUACUGUGUCAGACAGUGGAAGAAGGGAUUAUAAGGCUCAGAAGUGGGCCCAGCAGAGCAGAUGCGGUCUGAAAGGCAGAGCGCCCGCUGGACGGCUGCUCUCCGGGAAGACCUGGAAGAUGCGCCCAUCUACCCAUCAGAAGGAGUGUGCUGGUGAGAGGGGACCCAGCACGGCUAAGAAGCUCCUCUGCCGCUCCUCUCUCUAGGCCAGGAGAAAUUCACGGAAAGGAUUCUGACACUCUAGAAUACAGGCUUCUGAUGAACUUUCUGAUUAUCAAACUGAACUGGGACACAAUUGGAAAAAUUUGGCUUUGACGGGAAUGUUAUAUUUGAGAGAAACAUACAGAAUCAGAUAUGAAAAGACAGCUUUUGAGGAAUAAAGGUUGACUUUCUGGAAUAGAGCCACUUAGAAAUAUUGAUCUGGUACCUUGUUGGCAUGAUUCCCAGCAACCACACUGGGUAAGUAAAGAAGGUCACUUAUCUGACAGGUGCAAGGAAACUCAAUAUUUUGAGGAACCUCAAG